CCUACGGGUGGCAGCAGUGGGGAAUAUUGGACAAUGGGGGAAACCCUGAUCCAGCGACGCCGCGUGAGUGAAGAAGGAGUUCGGUACGGAAAGCUCUAUCAGCAGGAAAGAAAAUGACGGUACCUGACUAAGAAGCCCCGGCUAACGACGUGCCAGCAGCCGCGGUAAUACGUAGGGGGCAAGCGUUCUCCGGAUUUCCUGGGUGUAAAGGGAGCGUAGACGGCAGCGCAAGUCUGGAGUGAACUGCCGGGGCCCAACCCCGGAACUGCUCUGGAAACUGGGAAGCUGGAGUGCAGGAGAGGUCAGCGGCAUUCCUGGUGUAGCGGUGCCAUGCGUAGAUAUCAGGAGGAACCCCGGCGGCGAAGGCGGCUUACUGGACUGUAACUGACGUUGAGGCUCGAAGGCGUGGGGAGCAAAC
rnacentral:rRNA from 1 species